CCGCGCUCCACGAUGUACAUACGGCCACGGAAGUUUGGCUCCUCGUACAUCACCCAGCUGAGGAUGAAGAGAAGACAGAUGAAGUUCUUGGACAGGCCGCGACUCUGCAGGAAGGGACAGUCGUCGCAGAUGUCGACACACUGACCGGAGAAGUUACAGGCCUCGAACAGCUCGAUGCGGUAAUGCUCUCCAUGCUGACGGACACACACAGGAAACACAACCAGAAGUCUCUUUAAGGCCCGCCUCCUGAUCAGCCCACAGGAAGUAAAACGGGUUCCUCCCUGAAUUAGCGGAGCUUCGUUAGCGGGCGCUAAAGCUGGUCGAAUCGACAACACGCGGAGAUAUUUGGAGCCGUUUGUUGAGCGGAUCAGUUAGAAAUAAAACAGAGAGGAAGAGUACAAGCAGCAACAGCCACAGCGAUGAUGAUGAUGAUGUUUGAUGAAGAGCUGCAGACGACAACAGCUAAACUACUGAUUUUACUUUGCUGAUGUGUGAUGGAGAUGCUGCUUUCUGUUCACUGGGAUAUUUCACACUUUGGCCGCUUUUAAUAUGAAAAUCCAACAUUGUGACGUUAAAUAUAUGACUGAAAAUAAGGAAAACUGACUGUUAGAGACCAGAUCAACGUCUUCAAACGUCGUUUUAUCUGAUCAACAGUCAGUUUACCGUCAUAUAAGACCGAAAAGCUUCAAAUCAUCACAUUUGAGAAGCUGAAACCUGCAGUUUUUUGAUUAUUGGUUUAUCAAAAUAAUAGCAGAUACGUUUUCUGUCGAUCAAAUAAUCAAUUUAAGUCGUCUUCUGUGUUUAAAUAUCAUGAAUUUCUGCUCAUUAGGUUUGUUUCAUCCAGCUGGUGGAUGAGCAGGAAUAUCUACGACAGCUUUCCC